rnacentral:rRNA from 1 species
UGCGUAAGAAGGUAACCGAAGACUCCUACGGGAGGCAGCAGUAGGGAAUCUUCGGCAAUGGACGAAAGUCUGACCGAGCAACGCCGCGUGAGUGAAGAAGGUUUUCGGAUCGUAAAACUCUGUUGUUAGAGAAGAACAAGGACGUUAGUAACUGAACGUCCCCUGACGGUAUCUAACCAGAAAGCCACGGCUAACUACGUGCCAGCAGCCGCGGUAAUACGUAGGUGGCAAGCGUUGUCCGGAUUUAUUGGGCGUAAGCGAGCGCAGGCGGUUUCUUAAGUCUGAUGUGAAAGCCCCCGGCUCAACCGGGGAGGGUCAUUGGAAACUGGGAGACUGAGUGCAGAAGAGGAGAGUGGAAUUCCAUGUGUAGCGGUGAAUGCGUAGAUAUAUGGAGGAACACCAGUGGCGAAGGCGGCUCUCUGGUCUGUACUGACGCUGAGCUCGAAGCGUGGGGAGCAACAGGAUUAGAUACCUGGUAGUCCACGCCGUAACGAUGAGUGCUAGUGUUGGAGGGUUCCGCCCUUCAGUGCUGCAGCAACGCUUAACACUCGCCUGGGAGUAGACCGCCAGGUGAACUCAAGGAUUGACGGGGCCGCACAGCGGGGAGCAUGUGUUUAUUCAAGCACCCAAGACCUUACAGUCUGACUCCU